rnacentral:rRNA from 1 species
UACGUAGGGUGCAAGCGUUAUCCGGAUUUACUGGGCGUAAAGGGUGUGCAGGCGGGCUGUUAAGUGGUGUAUGAAAUCGCCGGGCUCAACCGGGCGAGGUUAUGCCAGACUGGCAGUCUAGAGAGCGAGAGAGGGACGUGGAAUUCCGGGUGUAGUGGUGAAAUGCGUAGAUAUCGGGAGGAACACCUGAGGCGAAGGCGGGCUACUGGGCCGAUACUGACGCUGAGGCACGAAAGCGUGGGGAGCAAACAGG